GGGCAGGUGACGGGAAUUGGCAUACCUCGCUGACUUAAAAUCAGCGGCCUGUGGGUUCGACGCCCACCCUGCCUACCA
rnacentral:tRNA from 1 species